AUGGAGUCAGAACAAGGAAGAAAUAGAAUAUUCAAGGUGAAUGUUAGAACUAGAGACUAUGAAUGUCUUAGUGCAACAAGUGUUGUCAAGGAGAGUGAGUUGUGGCACAUAAGAUUUGGUCAUCUAAAUUUCAGAAGCUUAGGGCAUUUGAAAUCAAAGAAGUUGGUACAUGGAAUUCCUACAAUCAAAAAGCCUGAGAAAUCAUGCAAGGUGUACAUGGAAGGGAAGCAACCAAGAUUACCAUUUACAUCAAAAGUAUCUCCAAGAGCAAAGUAUGCCUUACGAGUAGUGCAUUCUGAUGUGUGUGGUCCAUUUCUAGUAGCAUCAGUUGGAGGGAAUAAAUACUUUGUGUCA